GGCAUGAGCAGCACUCCCUGCUCCAAAAUAACUCAGCACAAAUCACUUCCCACCUAAAAUCCCCACCAGUGUCUCCCAGGGAAGAUAAUGAAAGGAGGCAGCAGGAGACCCCGCCUGGAGAAGAGCAAGAAGAAGGCGUCAGAGAAGAACUUGAAGAUGGAGGGGAAGCUCUUCCAGGAGGUCAGCUCAUGGCGCUCGGUGCCUGGGGACAGAAAAGAGAGUGCAUGGGUGAGAUUACCGUUCUGCUGGGAUCACAUCUUAUACAUAUUAGCUGUUCAGUAUCGCUACAAUCAACCGCUUGCAUCAGUAAAUUCUAUUAUUUUGUUCCUGAUGUAUGCAGAGCAAUGGGUUCUUUCUGGUGUGAUGUCAGAGUUUUUUUUUCCCUAAUAUGAUGUCAAAGGUUCUUUGUCCAAUCAGAUAUCACCUUCUUGCACCUACCUCUCAUAGUGAUCAAUCCCACACGCAUACUGACGGAUGGCUCUGUAUGUGAAGCUCCAAGGGAAAAGAACACACUUGGCAAGGCCAUAUGCACACAGAUCAAGCCACGGAAAGCAGCAGAAGGAAGUGGCACUGUGCUGAGCUGAUACAUACAGGAAGCAACGCGCCAGGAGACUACGAUCUGCAAGUUAUGUGUGACUGCCAGGCUUCAGUAAUGUCAGGCUUCCAACCCAGCUUACAACAAAGGCUUAUAGGGAUAUAGAAACGGUACUGUUUUUAGAAUAGGAUUUCAUAGGAAUCGACAUAGUUAUAUAAUUUUUUAAGUGACAUUUUGGGAUUCAGACUGUAUGCUUGUAGUUGUAUAAUGUAUGGAUGCUGGUAAGUGUCAAAGAAGGAGCUAUGAGCACAAAUGCAAAGCUGUUAUUAGUGCCGGAACUGAUGGUGAGCUGAAAAGAUGGACGUCUAAAUGAAUUUUAUGCAUUUAAAAAAAAUGACAAUUCACUGUAAUAAAAAAGUUUUUGAGGCUCAAAAUCAUGGAAAUAACCGAGCACUAUAAACUAAGGCCCCGUUCACACUCUGAAGAGUCCUCACUAUGAAGAGUACACAAGGCAGAAAUAUUGAUUGAUUUCCAUGGGAUGCCGAUGAGCAGUGCUGUUUGUCAACAGCGGAUUUUAAUUGUGCAGAUCCACUGUGGAAAUUCAGCAAGAAAAUGUCUUGCAGAAUUUCCGUAGUGUGAAGGUACCCACAUUUUAUUGAUAGGGCUUUCAUCAGUUUUGGUAAUAUGUCAAGCACUUUGGCAUUUGUCUACAUAUGCUUCUUACACGUAUACUGGAGAAUACCAAGGCCGGAGGGAAUGGCAAAGACUGUCUUGGUUUAUGUUUUUAUUUUACAGACAGUCAAUUGGGUAGUUACUUAUACUUAUGGAUUAGAUCAUGAAACCAGGGUGCAAUGUUGUAUUUUGAAAUGGAUGCUAUUGCAUGUAAAAAUCUGAUAAUGAA